rnacentral:rRNA from 1 species
CCAGACUCCUACGGGAGGCAGCAGUGGGGAAUAUUGCACAAUGGGGGAAACCCUGAUGCAGCGACGCCGCGUGAGUGAAGAAGUAUUUCGGUAUGUAAAGCUCUAUCAGCAGGGAAGAAAAUGACGGUACCUGACCAAGAAGCCCCGGCUAACUACGUGCCAGCAGCCGCGGUAAUACGUAGGGGGCAAGCGUUAUCCGGAUUUACUGGGUGUAAAGGGAGCGUAGACGGCUGUGCAAGUCAGAAGUGAAAGCCCGGGGCUCAACCCCGGGACUGCUUUUGAAACUGCGUGGCUGGAGUGCAGGAGAGGUAAGCGGAAUUCCUGGUGUAGCGGUGAAAUGCGUAGAUAUCAGGAGGAACACCGGCGGCGAAGGCGGCCUGCUGGACCGUGACUGACGUUGAGGCUCGAGAGCGUGGGGAGCAAACAGGAUUAGAUACCCGAGUA